UGCCCCAUGGCUGAGUUGGUUACAGCGUCCGACUGUUAGGAUCUCGCCAAAAUCCCAGUCCAUCGGAAGGUCGAGAGUUCGAGCCUCUCUGGGGCAG